AUUUAUUUAAAAUAAUUUUUCCUAAAAAAAUGGGAUUUAAUGCUUGUGAACCUUGCUUUGUGGUUCCCAAGUUUGGCUUUUAUGUAAUAUUG
rfam:Beta vulgaris subsp. vulgaris chromosome 5, whole genome shotgun sequence.